CCUUCUAUGGAAUUCAUAUUUUGGCUAUCAGAAUCUGAAUGUGUCACGGAUAUGCUUUUAUCAACACUAUUGAACCUAGACUUCUCUUUAGGAAUCUCUUCUGAAGGUAGACUAUCAACAAAUACCCCAAGACCAUUAGGAUUGGUGGUUGCAGUAUGUGGCUUAAAAAGAUUGCUUUUAUCAACACUAUUGAACCUAGACUUCUCUUUAGGAAUCUCUUCUGAAGGUAGACUAUCAACAAAUACCCCAAGACCAUUAGGAUUGGUGGUUGCAGUAUGUGGCUUAAAAAGACAUUUACUUGUAUUUGAGAACAAAGAUGUGAACCCGUCCU
rnacentral:lncRNA from 1 species